rnacentral:rRNA from 1 species
CUAUACAUGACUCUGCGCAUAUCAAUAAGCGGAGGAAAAGAAACUAACAAGGAUUCCCUUAGUAACGGCGAGUGAAGCGGGAAGAGCUCAAAUUUGAAAUCUUCAAGGUUCUACCUUGACGAAUUGUAGUUUAUAGAAGUGUUUUCUGUUAGUGGAGUGGCAAAAGUUCUUUGGAAUAGGACAUCAUAGAGGGUGAGAAUCCCGUAUUUGACCGUUACUUUCCAGCUGUGUGAUACACUUUCAAAGAGUCGGAUUGUUUGGGAAUGCAGUCCAAAAUGGGUGGUAAAUUUCAUCUAAAGCUAAAUAUUGGCGAGAGACCGAUAGCGAACAAGUACCGUGAGGGAAAGAUGAAAAGAACUUUGAAAAGAGAGUUAAACAGUACGUGAAAUUGUCAAAAGGGAAGCGUUUGACACCAGUGUUGUUUUCUCGAAAAUCAAUUAAAAAUGGCGGGAUUUUGUGUUGUAUUGACUUUAUCAGCUUUCUGCACUUUUUUCCUGUCUUUUUUAAUGCACUUUUCGUUUAACAAGUCAACAUCAAUUUCUUUUGUUGUAAAAGGGUAAGAGGAAGGUGGCUUGCGCUUCGGCUCAAGUGUUUAUAGCCUUUUACCUCUGCAAUCGGAGAGAUUGAGGUCUGCAGCGUAGACUCUUCGGGGUUAGAUACAUUUGUGCUAAGCUAUAGCCUUGUAUAGACAACUUGUUGACUAUGCUCAGUCAUGUAGCUUACUCGCAGAUGCUAUUUUACCUACGCUUAGGAUGUUG